rnacentral:lncRNA from 1 species
CCCAUUUUGUCAUUCACAGGACAGUGAACCUCUCCAAGCGCAGGUCGGAAUUGUUCCGGAGGCCACAGAGAGGAGCCCAGCAGGACAGGGCCUGGGUGCUGGAGUUGACUAUCCUCAGCCACUGGCUGAGCCCCAAGGAUGCCCUGCUUACCUGUUCUCACAUGCAGAAUCUGGCCAGGUAUUCCUGCCAUGCUGUCCCAUUCACUGAAUUGCACCCCUGCUGUGUUGAUGUCCCUCUAGACCCAAGGCUUCCCUAUUAUUUGGAACAUUUUGAUUUGAACUACAGGCCACCCAAGGCAAGAGACACUGCCCUCUUGGGGAAGCAACUGUGCCAGGGACGGAAUGGCUGUUUGGGGAUGAGGUUUCUCCUACGACUGUGCUGAUCCAAGAAAGAAACUUGAAGAAUGGGAGUGGGGCAACGAGCUCUGUGUUCCUGCUUUCUGGCACAUGCAAGGACCAGGAGUUGGGUUCUUCCUUCCCCGUUGUCCCUGCUCCUUGGGCUGUUCCUGCCACCAUCCAAGCAAAAGGCUCCGCAAGUCUCCUACUGUGAUGGCCCUGAGGACUUUGUCUUCAGCAAUAAUCCUGUUUCCUUUCCUCAGGUGGGGUGGUCAGGGAGAAAGCAGGUCAGAAACAGUUCUGGAGAUGAAGAGCAACACGCCUCACACCAGCCCCAGAAGUGCCAAUUGCAAGUAACAGCUUGC